GGUCCGAUAAUGCAGUGGUUAGCAUGCAUUCCCGGAAAGAGUAAGAUGCGGGUUCAACUCCCGCUCGAGGUUCA